UACGUAGGUGACAAGCGUUGUCCGGAUUUACUGGGCGUAAAGAGCGCGCAGGCGGUCGGUCAAGUCGAGUGUGAAAGCCCCCGGCUCAACUGGGGAGGGUCAUUCGAUACUGAUCGACUCGAAGGCAGGAGAGGGUAGUGGAAUUCCCGGUGUAGUGGUGAAAUGCGUAGAUAUCCGGAGGAACACCGGUGGCGAAGGCGGCUUCCUGGACCGACACUGACGCUGAGGCGCGAAAGCUAGGGGAGCAAACGGG
rnacentral:rRNA from 1 species